CGCACGGGUGAGUAACGCGUAGGCAAUCUACCCUUAUAUUUGGGAUAACAGACCGAAAGGUCUGCUAAUACCGGAUACCCUUUUAGUUAUGCGAAUAAUUUUGAGGAAAGGUGGCCUCUUUUUAAAGCUACCGUAUAGGGAUGAGCCUGCGUACCAUUAGUUAGUAGGUGGGGUAACAGCCCACCUAGGCGACGAUGGUUAGCGGGUCUGAGAGGAUGAUCCGCCACACUGGAACUGGAACACGGACCAG
rnacentral:rRNA from 1 species